rnacentral:rRNA from 1 species
GGCUCAGGACGAACGCUGGCGGCGUGCCUAAUACAUGCAAGUCGAGCGGACAGAUGGGAGCUUGCUCCCUGAUGUUAGCGGCGGACGGGUGAGUAACACGUGGGUAACCUGCCUGUAAGACUGGGAUAACUCCGGGAAACCGGGGCUAAUACCGGAUGCUUGUUUGAACCGCAUGGUUCAAACAUAAAAGGUGGCUUCGGCUACCACUUACAGAUGGACCCGCGGCGCAUUAGCUAGUUGGUGAGGUAAUGGCUCACCAAGGCGACGAUGCGUAGCCGACCUGAGAGGGUGAUCGGCCACACUGGGACUGAGACACGGCCCAGACUCCUACGGGAGGCAGCAGUAGGGAAUCUUCCGCAAUGGACGAAAGUCUGACGGAGCAACGCCGCGUGAGUGAUGAAGGUUUUCGGAUCGUAAAGCUCUGUUGUUAGGGAAGAACAAGUACCGUUCGAAUAGGGCGGUACCUUGACGGUACCUAACCAGAAAGCCACGGCUAACUACGUGCCAGCAGCCGCGGUAAUACGUAGGUGGCAAGCGUUGUCCGGAAUUAUUGGGCGUAAAGGGCUCGCAGGCGGUUUCUUAAGUCUGAUGUGAAAGCCCCCGGCUCAACCGGGGAGGGUCAUUGGAAACUGGGGAACUUGAGUGCAGAAGAGGAGAGUGGAAUUCCACGUGUAGCGGUGAAAUGCGUAGAGAUGUGGAGGAACACCAGUGGCGAAGGCGACUCUCUGGUCUGUAACUGACGCUGAGGAGCGAAAGCGUGGGGAGCGAACAGGAUUAGAUACCCUGGUAGUCCACGCCGUAAACGAUGAGUGCUAAGUGUUAGGGGGUUUCCGCCCCUUAGUGCUGCAGCUAACGCAUUAAGCACUCCGCCUGGGGAGUACGGUCGCAAGACUGAAACUCAAAGGAAUUGACGGGGGCCCGCACAAGCGGUGGAGCAUGUGGUUUAAUUCGAAGCAACGCGAAGAACCUUACCAGGUCUUGACAUCCUCUGACAAUCCUAGAGAUAGGACGUCCCCUUCGGGGGCAGAGUGACAGGUGGUGCAUGGUUGUCGUCAGCUCGUGUCGUGAGAUGUUGGGUUAAGUCCCGCAACGAGCGCAACCCUUGAUCUUAGUUGCCAGCAUUCAGUUGGGCACUCUAAGGUGACUGCCGGUGACAAACCGGAGGAAGGUGGGGAUGACGUCAAAUCAUCAUGCCCCUUAUGACCUGGGCUACACACGUGCUACAAUGGACAGAACAAAGGGCAGCGAAACCGCGAGGUUAAGCCAAUCCCACAAAUCUGUUCUCAGUUCGGAUCGCAGUCUGCAACUCGACUGCGUGAAGCUGGAAUCGCUAGUAAUCGCGGAUCAGCAUGCCGCGGUGGAAUACGUUCCCGGGCCUUGUACACACCGCCCGUCACACCACGAGAGUUUGUAACACCCGAAGUCGGUGAGGUAACCUUUUAGGAGCCAGCCGCCGAAGGUGGGACAGAUGAUUGGGGUGAAGUCGUAACAG